AAUGAACGUUGGCGGCAUGGAUUAGGCAUGCAAGUCGAGCGAGAAGAGUUUUGAAGCUUGCUUUAGAACUCGGACAGCGGCGAAAGGGAGAGUAACGCGUAGUUAUGUGCCCUAGGGUCCGGAAUAGCCACGGGAAACUGUGGGUAAUGCCGGAUAACAUCCCCGGAUCAAAGGUGUGAUUCCGCCCUAGGAGCAGACUGCGUCCUACUAGCUAGUUGGUGGGGUAAUGGCCCACCAAGGCAAUGAUGGGUAGCGGGUGUGAGAGCAUGACCCGUCUCACUGGGACUGAGACACUGCCCAGACACCUACGGGUGGCUGCAGACGAGAAUCUUCGGCAAUGGGCGAAAGCCUGACCGAGCGAUGCCGCGUGCGGGAUGAAGGCCCUCGGGUUGUAAACCGCUGUCGUAGGGGAGGAAGGUUCCGUGAAGAGCGGAAUUUGACCUAUCCUAGGAGGAAGUACGGGCUAAGUUCGUGCCAGCAGCCGCCGUAACAC
rnacentral:rRNA from 1 species